rnacentral:rRNA from 1 species
AGUGAACGCUGGCGGUAGGCCUAACACAUGCAAGUCGAACGGCAGCACAGUAAGAGCUUGCUCUUACGGGUGGCGAGUGGCGGACGGGUGAGGAAUACAUCGGAAUCUACUUUUUCGUGGGGGAUAACGUAGGGAAACUUACGCUAAUACCGCAUACGACCUACGGGUGAAAGCAGGGGAUCUUCGGACCUUGCGCGUUUGAAUGAGCCGAUGUCGGAUUAGCUAGUUGGCGGGGUAAAGGCCCACCAAGGCGACGAUCCGUAGCUGGUCUGAGAGGAUGAUCAGCCACACUGGAACUGAGACACGGUCCAGACUCCUACGGGAGGCAGCAGUGGGGAAUAUUGGACAAUGGGCGCAAGCCUGAUCCAGCUAUACCGCGUGGGUGAAGAAGGCCUUCGGGUUGUAAAGCCCUUUUGUUGGGAAAGAAAAGCAGCAGGUUAAUACCCCGCUGUUCUGACGGUACCCAAAGAAUAAGCACCGGCUAACUUCGUG